rnacentral:miRNA from 1 species
AAACUCUCAACACAAGCAGUCAUAACAGAGUUCCAAGAAACAACAGUUCUGUCAGGCAUUUCCUCAAACACCUUACGCGCAUCCACAAUCUUCUUACAACACCCGUAAAAGUUAAUCAAAUUGUUA